CCUACGGGCGGCAGCAGUGGAGAAUAUUGCACAAUGGGCGCAAGCCUGAUGCAGCCAUGCCGCGUGUGUGAAGAAGGCCUUCGGGUUGUAAAGCACUUUCAGCGGGGAGGAAGGCGGUGAGGUUAAUAACCUCAUCGAUUGACGUUACCCGCAGAAGAAGCACCGGCUAACUCCGUGCCAGCAGCCGCGGUAAUACGGAGGGUGCAAGCGUUAAUCGGAAUUACUGGGCGUAAAGCGCACGCAGGCGGUCUGUCAAGUCGGAUGUGUAAUCCCCGGGCUCAACCUGGGAACUGCAUUCGAAACUGGCAGGCUAGAGUCUUGUAGAGGGGGGUAGAAUUCCAGGUGUAGCGGUGAAAUGCGUAGAGAUCUGGAGGAAUACCGGUGGCGAAGGCGGCCCCCUGGACAAAGACUGACGCUCAGGUGCGAAAGCGUGGGGAGCAAACAGGAUUAGAUACCCGUGUAGUC
rnacentral:rRNA from 1 species